AAGUGGCCAUGUGGUUAGAGCAUCUGCCUUAGAUGCAGGAGAUUAUGGGUUCGAAUCCCAGCUGAAUCA